GGUUAAGUUAGAAAGGGCGCACGGUGGAUGCCUUGGCACUAGGAGCCGAUGAAGGACGGUACAAACACCGAUAUGCUCCGGGGAGCUGUACGUAAGCUUUGAUCCGGAGAUUUCCGAAUGGGGAAACCCCCUGUCUUUAAUCGGACAGGAUUCCUGCCUGAAUCCAUAGGGCAGGAAGGGCACACCCGGGGAACUGAAACAUCUCAGUACCCGGAGGAAGAGAAAGCAAUUGCGAUUUCCCAAGUAGCGGCGAGCGAACAGGAAACAGCCCAAACCGGAAGGCUUGCCUUCCGGGGUUGUAGGACACUCAUAUGGGAGUUACAAAAGAACGGGGUAAGUGAAGCGGCCUGGAAAGGCCUGCCGGAGAAGGUAAAAGCCCUGUAACUGACACUUCGUUCUCUCCCGAGUGGAUCCUGAGUACGGCGGGACACGAGGAAUCCCGCCGGAAUCCGGGAGGACCAUCUCC
rnacentral:rRNA from 1 species